UAUGCAUUUUGAUGUGUUUAAGGCAUGAUCGAGCAAACAAACGACAGAAUACUUUUUCUGAAACCUUAACUGUGUUACCUGUUAUGGCAGCUAACAGGGAUCAGCUGUUAGCGCUGCGCCCUGCAGCUGCGCUACCGGCAGACAGACCCUACAUCCCCAGUGAGGGAAGAAACGGGGGUGAUGUCUCCCGAGGACACCUCACACACCAUCUCUCCUUCCUGUAAUCACUUUAAAUGUGAGAUCGCUCCCUGUCCUCCCGUACUGGUGAUGGUGAAGCCAAGGAGAGAAGGCCCAAGUAAUAAACACCCGUU